GCUCUGAGCUCUGAGAUCCUCCUAGCACUGAGUUUUUGGGGACCCCUAAGUCACCUGUACCUGAGUUUCCUUUCUUGAGUGAGGUUCUGUUUUCUGAGGCCAUUUCCAGUUGUCCCUUUCCUGUCACGGUGGGCCAACAUGACAGUGCAAUGCAUUUCAGGUGUGCAAUGGGAAUGCCACUGUUCUCCAUCACGGUUUUAUAGUUACUUGGAGCCAACCGGAGGCCAAACAGUUCUGGCAGUUAUUCAAACCUAGUUCCUACCAGUAACUUCCCAAGGUGGAUGUCAUGGGGAGGGUGUGCGGGAGUGAGGAGCAGCGGAAGGGAAGAGGAGCUGUCUGCCCCGGACAACACGAUCGCCUGCUUUCUUCUGAUGAGCUUCAGCGGGUUCAUGGGAUCUGAUGUGGCCACAUGAAAACAUGCCUCAGAAAAAGUGUCCCCAGAAGUUUAUAACCAACAUUAUAUGUCCAGAGGUACGCAGGAAGCCAACUUCACCACUGAAGCAGAGAACCUAGUCACCUGUCGGAUCAGAAAACAUCAAGAAGUGUCUGCUUGGCUGUGUCCUUUGAGACUCUUCCUCACCCUGCUCCCCAGAGGGGAGCGCAACUAGGAACCUGCCUCCCUGUGGAUGUGCGGAAAAUGGAGAACCAUAAACACUCCUGGGCAUGUGCUCGAGUUAUCUUCUAGAGAUUCACUAGUGAAUGAGCCCUCUCCUUCACCCGAGAAUCCAUGAGGAAAGGCUUCCUGGAAACAGGAGGAAUUGAGCUGGUGCUUCAAGGAUUGGAAUUCAGAAGGCAUUCUGGGUGGAAGGAAGAUAGUGAGUCUGCCUGAGAUUAAUUGUGUAUUGACUGCAGGGUUCAAUUUGGUCCAGCAGGCGCUGGGUAACGGGAAGUAUGCUAAGAACAGCUGAGAUAACAGCAUCCCUCUUGAGGAAGAAGGUUCUCUGAGGAGAUUGAGAGGAAGGAGAAAGAAGAUAAAAUUGAAGAAGAAGAAGAAGAAGAAGAAGGAGAAGAAGGAGGGAAAAAAAACCCCAACAACUUGCAAACAUCCGCAUCUCUGUGUGCUGCUGCUGUGGCUGCUGCUUGGUUGCGUCUAAGAUGGCACCUUGGUGCCCUGCCACAUUCGGUCUCCUUGGUACCGAAGCGGCGCUCAGCUUCUUGUCACUGAGUGGAUGAUGAUUAUCUGCACCAGGGUCUCAAGGGUGCUCAAGCUUUGCUGGCGAUUGGAGCUGAGAUGCUUCAGCUGAAGGAUUUUAAAAGCUAUACAAGGCCAAAGAACCAUUACCAGUCACUUGCUGUGUGAUGCCUGUUGAAGAGGGGGUGGUGGGGGAAGGAGGGGGCCUGAGGGAGCCGCAGGGGGAGGGCAUGAUAUCUUUAUCCCCUCCCCUGUCCUCUUGCUCACCCCCUCUCCUCCCACCUCUCCACCUCCCCACGCCUUUUUAGCCACUGUACCCUUGCUGAGGCGUGACAAGGUUAUGUCAGCGUGGUCUGAGAAUCUAUUGAUCACGGCCAUCAAAGAUCUUUGCGGGAGUUUAGGGAUUUGGUGCUUUGCAUAACACCCCACUCUUCUCAGUUAACUCCUCCUGUCCCGGCCUGGGCUCACAUCACCUUGCAGCUGAGCUGUUGGCAAAACUUGCUAAUUUCUGUGACAGCUGCUUUCCGAACUCUACUCAUAAGGCUGUCAAAUCCAUUGUAAUUACUAUUAUAACAGAGCUCAGGUGCCUGACCCAGGCAGCUAAGAAGGGGAGGGAUCGGAGGAAACGUAGCAAGGGGAAAAAAAAACCACCUCUAUAUGCUAAGCCCCAACACAUAUGUACAUACUCUUACACACGUGUGCCAGUGCACAGACACACACACAAGCUUGCCUUGUCUUCCCCUUGAGGAACCACAGAAGAAAGGUUCAAUAAACAAUAAAGCUCUUGUUGCUUUCCUUC